rnacentral:rRNA from 1 species
UACAGAGGUCUCAAGCGUUGUUCGGAUUCAUUGGGCGUAAAGGGUGCGUAGGCGGCGCGGUAAGUCGGAUGUGAAAUCUCGGAGCUUAACUUCGAAACUGCAUUCGAUACUGCCGUGCUUGAGGACUGGAGAGGAGACUGGAAUUUACGGUGUAGCGGUGAAAUGCUUAGAUAUGACAUAGAACACCAAUUGCGAAGGCAGCUGGCUACACGAAUAUUGACACUGAUGCACGAAAGCGUGGGGAUCAAAACAGG